GCGCGCGUAAUUAUUUUGCACAAUUUUUAUUUUAAACUGACUCUAUGACUCUUGCUAAAAAGCGCGGCACUUUGGACUGUCACUGUCAUCAAUGCUUGCCCUAACGAUAUACCGCGUUAAAGUGUUCCAUGUAACCCGUGAUGUAUUUAAAUGAAACAAUGAACAUUGUUCAAUGAAUGAUCUGUUGACGUCUACGGUACGUACCUGUGUCAAUUUUAUUCAAUUCCUAAUUCCUCGCGAGGAGGCAAUUACGAGACAACUUUACUUUGCUGCAAACCGAUGUACACUGGUUCGAAGCGCUUCGUACAGUGUUCUGCGGAGCACGACGACGAGGUGCAUUCGUGCGAUAAGUGACAGACUAGAAGCGAGGCAGAAAGAGAACAAGGGAUAGAGAAGUAGAGGAGGCUCUUUUCUUCUCGCUCUGUUUUGAACGCUGGAUGGAGAAGUGGCUACACGUCGACGCGAUCGUUUCGACGAUGAAGAGAAAAUGGUGGGGAUGCUCGUCUUCGUGGUUCCGUCCUGUAGCGCCGGCGCUGCAUCGACCCAUUCGCGCUUCUCUACCGAUGUGCGUUCGCUUGAAUGUAUCUUCAAAGUAGCUAUUUAUUUAUCCGUUUUUACGCCUGAUGUUCAUAUAGAUUGCUUCAUCUGAUAACUCAUCCAAGCUUGCUUGAUUUUUAUCCACCUUUCCAAUACUAACCUUCUAUGGAGACUAUGCGCGUAUAUGAAACGAACAAGGACUUUGAGGGUUGAACGCGCUGCUUGGAGAAUUCGUGGUACCUGUCAUUGAUUUUGAAGAUGAGAAUGAAACACCACUAUCCGUUGAAGACGGUGUAUGACACUCUUUAUUAGAUAAAGGUAUCUGCCACGAAUAUCUAGACUUGGCACACGGACUAUUGCCACCAGGACUUGUACUCUGGGAACUCGAAACGCUUAGCGGACUUUUCGGACUUUUCAAAGCUCCAGAACUAAAAACUCGGACUAAUCGAAGUCUUAAAGAGUUCUCUUUAUUUUUUAUUGUGUUAUUAGUAUCACUUGAUAUUUCACGUUCUUCGGAAGGAUCGGAGAAAUUUUCCAUGGUAAUUUGAAAUUUAAAAUGAUUAAACGAACGUAAUACCGCGAACUACUGCAUUCGACUGUAGGAACUUAUUUCAGAAAAGUGUAUAAAACUUAGAAAAAGGCGUUACUUCCUGGCAGUUCUUUAACCACAUCCUUCCUUAUUCUUAUCACAAUAAUGUAAAUACUAAUCUGAACGUAUACGGUUCUAAGAAUGGAUUAAAAAAUUCAAAUAUCACAACCAUAUAAUUUUCAUUAUUUAAUUUAUUUUACUUCCAUCCAUUAUUCGAAUAGAAUUCAUUUAAAGUUCUCAAAACUUUAACUAUUGACACUAUCUCCUCCUUUGUACAUACAAUUAAUAUGAACUAAAUUGUUUAAGCAUUUCAGUGUUUCAAUGUUACCCAAAUUUAAAUUUAAUUUUCAGUGGGAUGUAUCGCAUUAUUGCUUUUUGUACUUUGUUGCUUAAUUUUUUACAUGCUUGUCUUUUUUUUUAACAUAGAAGAAAAUGAGUAUUACAAAUUCCUCGCCGAAUCUGUAUUUUUUUUUUACAUUCUUGCAUUACAAUUUAAAUAGUUUGUAGUACAAGUUGAACAGCAUAUAAU